AGAGACUUUGGCAGAAGACAGACCCGGGGUCCACAUCCGGGCUGCCCGACCCUUUGGGGAGGGUCUCAGCCAAGCACGUGCCUCUCCAGGCCUCCGUUUCCUGGUCCGUAAGUGGGGGGACCACGCCCCUCCCAGGAUCGGGGGAGAUCCUGAGCCUGAGAGCCCAGGCAGAGCUCACCCACUGAGCCAACCCCGCGAGUACCUGGGCUCCAGCUUCAGCCUAUUUGGAGCCAGCUCAUGGCGCAGUUUCCAUGCCUGCAGGCCUGUGUCUGCUGCCAGGCUUCAUAAUUGUUUUCUGCUGGAGGGUUUUUUCCAUACAAGUGACUCCAUCACAGCCAGAAGCAGAAGUUACCACACAAUGUUGUAAAUGCCUGUGUCCCCAAGGGGACCAUUGGACCCUCAGGGCCAGGGACUGAGUCCCCUUCCCUCUGUGUACACGCUGCCUCGCCAGGAAGUCUCCUCCGAGCUCAAGGCUGGGCUGGGCCCCACUACCAGCCACCCUACCUCGAGUGCUCGUUCAGCGACUGCCUUUGCUCUGAUUAUCAGUCUCCCCACUGGAUUGCGAGCAAUUUGAGGGCAAGAAGGGGCCAUGAUCAAAGGCACAGGCCUCCGGGAAAGAACAGAAGCAGAACAUCAGGGCAAAGACGGCGCUGGGUAAUAGAAUCAUGCCACCCUCUCAGAUUUUGUAUGAAUGACCCUGGAAAUGACUCCUCAGGGCACUCUGGCUGGGGUCAGCUGGCCCCCAGCUUCAGAGCAGCUGCUCACAGAUGCCCAGGCCCGAGGGGCUCACUCCUCCCGCGUGCAGGAGGGGGAACGUGCGAGCUUGCAUCUGGGCAUACAGCGUGCACCUGGUCCUACACCCGGCUGGACAGGGGAGUGCCCUUAAAGGAAACCAUGUGUAAGCUGUCGGAUGAAAAUGGGCCUUUGCCUGUGUAUUAUCAUAACAGUAGCUAACAUUUAUUCAGUGUUUCUAUACCAGGCACUCUGCUCACGUAAUCGCACCUGCCUCUCCCGUGUGUUGGCAAAAUGAUUCCCUCUGCUUCGUCCGUGAGGAGAGUGAGGCACAGAGGAUUUAGUCGUCGGCCGCAUCUGAAGUGAUAGAGCUGGGACCGGGCCCGAGGCGCCCUGACCCUGAGCUCACAGGUUUGGCUGCCAGGCUGCAUGGCCUCCUGGUGCACCUGCAGGAAAGGCUCCUGCGCCCUCCUACCUGGGGUCACAUUUCUGAGAAUGUGAUUGGCGUUUAGUUUGUGGCUCUCCCCUGCUCCAUCCUGACAGCCCCCCACCCCUGGUCUCCUGGCCUCCAGGCUCCCCUCUCUCUCACCCAGUGUCAGCCACACGGCCACCGUGACCCCACCGAGUCACUCCCCUGCAGUGGUCAGUGGCUCCAGGGAUGGAAGCAAUCUGAACUUCUCCAGGCCUUCACAACGGAGCUCAUUCCUCAUCCCACCUGCUCACAGCAACAUGCACACACGUGUACACAUACGUGUGUGUGCAUAUACAGACACACGUGCAUACACCUGUGUGCAUGCGUGCAUACGCACGCAACCACACACACAACCGCUCAUCCCCCGGACCGCAGUGAACCACCUCCGGUUUCCAGGGAGUGCCCCUGCACUCCCUACCCUCCACCUUCCUCCGGGCUCGGCUCCACCUGUCACUCACCUGCUAACAGCCCCAAGUUCCUACCCAGCCAACAAGAUGGAAGCAGACAGCAGACGGCAGACCCCACUCAAUGCCCUCUCCUUGCUUUACUGAGAGAGCCCUGACAUUGUCCUGGGGACCACGUGCCAGGUUGAAAUCCCCUUUGCAGUGAGAGUGGCCACAGGGCCCCCUCGGAAGGCGACUCCGUGGGGCUCCUGAGCACGCCGUUUCUUGCUGAUGGGAAGCACUGACUCCGCCGACCUUCUGCUUCUUGACCUUCACCCUUCCCCUCCUUCCUGCCCGGACUGCAAACCCAAAGCCUAGAGACAGAGCUGCCGGCUUGUGACAGUGAGGACGAAUGCCGCGCUCUAGAGAUGGUAGAGCAGAAAGCUAGAAGGAGCCUCCUCUGUGACCCCUUCUCAAGGGGCUGCUCCAGCCCUGGGCUGCCUCCUUCCAGGCUUCCUGUUUUGUGAGUAAGAUAAACCCCUACUGGUUAAGCC
rnacentral:lncRNA from 1 species